rnacentral:lncRNA from 1 species
UUCAAGACUGGCGAUGACAGGAAAGCGGCUGCCGAGAAUACGCUCACUGCGUAUAAAUCUGCUCAGGUUUGUGGUUAUUUCGUCAAGUUCUUUUCGAUCUUGUGCAUUUUUUUUUGUCUUGAUUUGCUUUAUUUUUUGGGUUUCAAUAGUUUACGAUGAGUAUCUUAAAUUGAGAGUUAAAAUUCUUCUUGGAGAAGAAAAAAUCGUAUAAAAUCAGCGAAAUUCACAAUUUACAAUAUUACAAGAGAUCUAAAUCUAUGAGUAGAGAAGCAUAUGAAGUAUCUAAAUUUAAAACUAUCACUUACGUGUGAUGUGCAUAGCUUCAUUUCUGGUUAAAUCCAAGAGAAAUUGUUUUUAUCUAGUGAUCAAAGGUCACCCCUUUACUUGGUCCCCCAACAACCUAAAAUUCGAAAUCAUUUUGGUUGUUUGUAUUAAUUCAAUUAACACAGUCUAAUAUUACU